UCUUCGUCGUCUCACCUUCCUCCUUCGGCCAAUUUUCCAGAAAACUAAAGCUUCCAUCAAUUCAUUGAAACGUUUCCACCUUCUAUUGAAAAUCCCUUAGUUCCGAGCUUUAAGUGAUUAACCCACUACUUCCACUCUGAAGCAUUCAAUCGACCUCAUAAAAUCCUAAAGCAAAGAGACAUAGAUCAGAGUUUCUUCAUCAGAGAAGAAGACAGCGUGAUUCGAUUAGUAUCUACUGUGAUAUGAUGCAGCAAGAUGAUGAUCAUCACUCUAGAAAGCUAUCAAGGUGUGGAGGUGCUUUGUGAGUCAGAAGAAGACAACCUUGGACUUGGCUAAAGAUUAUGAUGCCUUGAAGAUUAAUGAGUCACUUCCGUUUUGAGCAACUCGUGGUGCUAACAAAGUCGCCUGCUACUCUUAAAGCUGUUAACUCUUUGCUUGACCACCUUCAAGUUCGCUUAUAAAAUUAUUGCCACUGCUCUUCUACUCUGCUCCCCUUGCAAUACAUCAUCAAUAAUAAAAAGCCUCUGUCAACAUGAUGCACAACCUUCAGCAAGGAAAUCUGGGCAUCAAUUUACACAGAACAGCACCGUGGCUAGGGGAAUAUCAGCUGCUUGCAUCAACAACUCACCCUCACAUACAGAUGAGCUCUUUUGGAAGCUACGUUCUAUGCGGCAUCAAAAUCUCUACCCUUGAUUCUUAUCUCCAGACCUCAUUCUUCUCUUGUCAUUUUCAGUUACGUACUGAGGUUUGUUGUUUGAUAUUUAUUUUCAAAAGGUAUUUGUAUUUUCUUACUGUUGAGAUAUAUACGGUUACACAUUCAUGUUUAUUUCAAGCUGACAGAUUCUUCCCCCAUCAUUCGCUUCGCUGUCCUAACUAAAUUUGUUGAAACCACAGCGGUCACCGCUCCAAUACCGACGGGAAUAAACAUGUUUGGUUUUUCUCACUUGGCCAACUGCUCGGUAAAAAUAUCAUUAACUAACAGAGCAGUAACAAUAUCAUCAUCUUGGUUAUUUUUGGCCAUAUUUACUUUAAGAUUCUGCAGCUUUGGAUGUGUACAUAGUCAUCACUUUCAUUUCGAAUUACUUUUACUCCGAGGUUGAAAAAAUACAUGCUGAGUUCAACAGUAAUAACCAAUAUUUUUUUUUUUUUU